GGAGUUAGCCGGUGCUUCUUCUGCGAGUAACGUCACAGAUGUAAGGUAUUAACUUACACCCUUUCCUCCUCGCUGAAAGUGCUUUACAACCCGAAGGCCUUCUUCACACACGCGGCAUGGCUGCAUCAGGGUUUCCCCCAUUGUGCAAUAUUCCCCACUGCUGCCUCCCGUAGGAGUCUGGGCCGUGUCUCAGUCCCAGUGUGGCUGAUCAUCCUCUCAGACCAGCUAGGGAUCGUCGCCUAGGUGAGCCUUUACCUCACCUACUAGCUAAUCCCACCUGGGCUUAUCCAUCAGCGCAAGGCCCGAAGGUCCCCUGCUUUCCCCCGUAGGGCGUAUGCGGUAUUAGCAGUCGUUUCCAACUGUUAUCCCCCACAAAUGGGCAAAUUCCCAGGCAUUACUCACCCGUCCGCCGCUCGUCAUCUUCAAAGCAAGCUUUUGAAAUGUUACCGCUCGACUUGCAUGUGUUAGGCCUGCCGCCAGCGUUCAAUCUGAGCCAUGAUACAACUCUAGA
rnacentral:rRNA from 1 species